UUUAUAUAAUGUUGUUAGUUACCCCCUGAGCAAAGCACAUAGCCCAUUUCUCAAUUGGCUCAGUUUAGUGAGAGAAGGAGCAUUCACUUGUAAUUCAUUAUGCAUUCAUUUGCAUUCAUUGUGCAAAAAUGUUCAGAUUUGUGAAAAUCAUACCCCACUCUCCAAUGCUAGUAUGGAACUAUAAUGACUGUAAAACAGCUUUAACAACAAAAAUCCAUUAAAUUAAUGUUAUUGCAGAUUGUAAUAAUUCCAGACCAAUUUCUUGAUAAUGAUGAUAAAUUUCAUGCUAUUUAUUUUGAGCCAAAAGUUAGUUCAGAAAGUAAGUUCUUUAAAAUUCCAGAGUCUUUUCUAAUAUCAUCAAUUAUGGAGAGGAAAGAAAAGGAUUUUAAAUAUUCUUUAAGUCAGAAAGAUUCCAUUGUUAUUUGUAAUGAACAGUAGUAAAUGAAUCUUGUUGUAAUGAACAUGGUUCUGAUCUUCAUCAAACUAAAGUAAAGAAGAUAGGAAUGUGGAAUGGUGUCAAAAUUUUUUAUGGUUCUAAGAUGUUUUAUUUACCUUUAUUUCAAUCUUCACUUUAAAAUGUCUUCCAACUAGAAUGUGUGUCUGUAUGAUUGUUCUAUUCAGAGAUUCAAAUAUGCUGACAGAAAAGUAUGUUAUCUCACUUAUCUCUACUUUUUAUCUUUAUAUGGAUAUAUCAUUGUUCUCUUUCAGUUAAUUUUGCACUGGUUAAGACUAUAUUCGCUAAAAUUUUGGUUAAGAAACUGGUUUUCCGUCAUUACAUUCAAAACUAUUUCAUCAUCUACAUGCUAGUUAUUAUUUAUGAACCAACUUUAUUUAUUAUCCUUCCUGUACAUUAAUUAAUGGAAAUUUUAUCCAAUAUCGCUAAUGAUUCAACCAUUCUUUCUUCAGCUAUACUAUCUUUUGUGUGUUCUACCAACCAGUUGCAUAUUAUAUUCUUAUUCACGUCAAUGUCCUACAAAACAAGGGUCAUGUCUACCAUAUAUUGUUCUCCUAUUCAGAAGAGUAUUUGAAUUAGAUUACCUUCCCCUUUCUAGUUUUUCUAUUACAUUACCUUUUCAAAGUCAGUACUAUCCACGAGACAUCAUGACAUCCCAAAGAAUUUGAGUUUUUCCAAACAUGCUGACAUAUUACUCCUGGUUCAUGGUAAUAUCAACCCCUUACUAAAACAUUUUAAAGUCAUGUAUGUAUAUAAGCUGCUAUACUCCCAAAUUACAUGAGAAAUACUUCUAAAGGAAAUUCAUAUUAAAAUUACAAGAUUACUUUUUAACAUGAUUAUUUAAUACAUUCGAAACCAAAUAGUUGAGUGAUUUAGAAAAAAAAAAAGAAAAGAAAUUAAGCAUACCUGUUUUCUUCUAUAUAUGAUGAAAAUACCAAACAAGUUUUCAAAAGUAUUCUUAUUAAUGAUGUAACUAUUAAAGAAUAAUAAACAAGAUAAUUUUUUUUUAAUUUUACAUCUUUCCUCCUAUGAAGUAGGUUAUAUAUAAAACCACCCACAUACAACUCUCAUAUAUUAACCACAUGUAGUUGGCAGGCACUGACAUAUGGCAAAACACCAUUACCUUAUUGAGUUCUGGAAUCAGAGUUGUGCAAACUGGAUUUUAUGGUGGCUGGAAGAUUCUUUAGCAAUAGGCCAGGGAAAUUUUAUUAAAUUUAGUUGCAAAACUCAGGCUUUUUUACUGUCUUUCAUUGCUCUGUUAAGGCUGAAAUUGUGCCCUUGGUAUCCUUAAUCUUUUCUAGACCUAAGCUGGUUUAGUCUCAAACAGCUUGCUGUGAUAUAAAAGGUCUGAUGCACACAAACAUCAGUAUAUGUGUGUGUGUGUGUGUAUAUACAUAUAUAUGAAAAAUCCAUGCUAGCAUGGACAACAGGUGUUAAAUGAUGAGGAUAUAUAUAUAUGUAUAUAUAUAUAUAUAUAUAUAUAUAUGAAUGUAUAGACUUAAGUGUGUGCAUGAAAGUACAUAGUAUACAAACAUAUAUGAUGAAGUGACUAGAAUUACCUAGAAUUACCUAGAAAACAUUUAUUCAGAGUAAUCUGUUUAGCCAAAGAUAUGCAGCGGUGCUUGUAAGUUAAUUUGCCAAGGUUUGUAUGUAUUACUGUGCAUGUGUAGAAAUGGGUGGAAGACUACUUAAUGCAUGUAGUAGAGUUUAUUUAUUUGUUCCAGGAAGAUGAUUCUCUCUGUUUCUACUCAGUUUCUUUAGAUGACAAAAACUUGACUCAUCUUUUUAUUGCCCAGCAGGAACGCACAUAAUGAGAAACUCGCAGUAGCAACUGAUUUAACUCAUCAGCUUUGAUGAUUGCAUUUGAUGAUACAUCCUGUACCCGUUUUGUCAUGAUUUUCUUGUUUUUUUUCACCCUUUCUAUACCUAUGUUUCUACUAUCCAAUUAAACUACAAGUUUGCCACACUUCACCACCUGUGAACUUCAUGAAGCUGUGCAGAUAGAGAAUCCAGCUGAACAGUUCACUUCUCCCACUACAUAUUGAAAUAUAAACCAAAGAUCUGCUAUGAAAGUUUCUCAAAUCAGCCGUUAUUUUGAAGAUCUUUGUUAUCAAUUAUUGUUGUUCGAUAGAUUGUGAUAUUUUAUCUUACACCAGCUCCUGUUGUUAUGUUUAUCUUGCUUUAUUGAUAUUUAUAUAUUUACUUUCCUGACACAUUUAUUUUGUUUAUGGAAUAAAAAAAAAAAUCUAUUGAUUUCAAAUUCUAACUGAAAUAAAAGUUCCAUGAAUCAAA
rnacentral:lncRNA from 1 species